rnacentral:tRNA from 1 species
GUCGAGGUGGCGGAAUCGGUAGACGCUUUAGGUUGAGGGCCUAGUGUCCGUUAAGGACGUGCGGGUUCGAGUCCCGCUCUCGACA